UGUCCUCUACUUCAAAUGUGCUCGCAGCGCUGACACCUGGCCUGCUGUCUCCCCACGUACUGCUGCCGGGGCAGCCCGGCCUGCAGCCUCUGGCUUCUUCCCUGCAGGAUGAAAACCCCCCUGUUUUCUCCUGCAAUGGGUUGUCCCGUGGCUGCUCGGCCCUGCCCUUCGUUUGAGUCACGGACUGAGGAAUAUUUCGAGUAUGAGGAGGGAACCCCGAGUUUCAAAGACCAAGCUAGACACCUUGGAUCAGUUAUGAGAAGGAAACUGAAGACACCUCAAAAAAGUGCAAAUGAGCAAUAUUUGGCGUAGUUACUACCUGUCAGAGUGUAGUCAAAAAAGAAACUGCAGCAUGUCAGAGCCCCCGACUGGACUGUGCCGGGCGUGUGGGAGCCCUGUAGUCACGCGUAGUCAGGACAGCCUCAAGUCUCCGUCCCUGUGUUGCGUGGGGUGAAUAUGCCGCUCGCUCUUAACUUCCCUGCUGACUUAGGCAGCUGCCUCACGCUAGUGUUGUAGCAGCUCAGAUGUGGAUUUAGCUGUGUAUUUUUCUAAGUGAUAUAGAAGAAUACCUUUUUUGCCUCCUGACUUACGGAUAAGUGAAACAAAGAGAAAUCUCUUUUUUUUUUUUUCCUCAGGACCUGUGGUUAAGUCUGUAAGUGAACUACUAAUUGAGUUUUGUGAAACCCAGCAAGUGUAUUAACCAUAGUGCUAUUCUUCAUGAAGAGACGGUCAUUUUCCUAUGAAGAGGUAGACAGAGAUACGUGAAGCAAAAUCGUGGACCUACUGAAAUCCUUGAGAGUUUUAUCUUGACUUGGAUGGAAGAGGUAUUUCUCCAACAGUUUAUGUGCUGCAUGUGCUGUGCAUAUGAAUAUAUAGAGAGGGUAUUUUUGUAUAUAACCUCAGAGUGGCCAUUGCAAAAUGAUUGUAUUUGGAUUGGUACACACAUAUUGUUGAGAACUAUUUUUAAGCAUGGUUUAGAAUAACUUAAUAAUAGAAAUAUACACAUCAGGAGAAACGUGAAUUUUAUAAUCCUUCUACUGUCUCUAAGUGCAAUUUGAAUGAUAAUAAAUGUAUGAGAUAUAUAAUGAGAAGAAGCAAAUUAGAUAAGGAUCAGUAUGGCCAUUCUAACCAAACUUCAUUUGAAGACACUGAAAGCUUAAGGACAGGGCAGCAUAAAGGAUAAUGAUGCACCAAAACCUGUCAGUAUUUCAGGAAAUCUCAAAAAUGAAGGCAUUAUUACAGCAAGCUAUUGUAUUAUGAAAGUCAAAAGAUUUAAUGUGCCCUUACAUGGUUUUGGAGUCUCUUUCUUACAGUAAAGAACAUGAUGGGAAAAUACAAUCUUAGUGCACUACAAGGCUUCUCAGAAAAUUUUGGACAACUGUGCUCCACUGCCCUUCCAAAUGCUCAUCCAGAACAGCAUCUUCUUCCAAGGAGUUGGCUAUUAUGGGAAAGGACUUGGAGUGAACCAAGCUCCUCUUCUUAACCAAGACAUCAUUAAAAGUUCCUUUAGGCUCAGGGAAACCUGCUAAAGGGAACCAGUCUUACUUUUUUCCAUAUCAGUCACUCUACAAAAAAAAUGUUGGGACAUUAACUGAGAACAGAAGUUGAGAGAAAAUGGACAAUGGAGGUGGGAAGCUGAGUAGAAAGAUUAGUAAGAGUAAGCAAAACAUAUAGGUAAUUAGAAUGACAGAACACUUUCUAAUUGUGAUUUGAAAUGACAAUCACAGCUUCAUUUUUCAGGAAGUACUUUGAAUGACCUUCUGGACAUUUUAGAAAGGUAGUAGUUAAAAUAAUACUAUAGGAUGAUGAAGUAGGAGAUAAGCUCUGAACGUGCAUACAAAAAUAUUCGGUGAGAGUCUCCUCUUCCUUCAACAUUUCCAUUUGUAAGUUCAAUGUCGAUUUGCUCUCCUUACACUGUAAAAUUGAUGUUUGCAUUAGGUAUGUCUCCAUAAUAAAUAUUUCCCCUAUUCAAAUAAACUCCAAUACAUUUAGAUAUAAAAAGGGAGAAGAAUGAUUAUGUGAACAAUUGAUAUAAAGAGCAUAAAGUGCCAUCUUUAUAACUGUAGCUGAGUGCAGAAUCAACAAUCAGUAAUCAGUUGUAAGACUGAAACGCCUUUUCGGACUAUGAAUUAACUGAAAUAAAUCCUGAAGUGUUCACAUUUAUCCAUUAUAUGGUAUUAUUUACUGAAAAAUAUGUAAAUAAUUUUGGAUAUAUAUGAUACAUAUGGUAGGUUCAUUGUGACUCUGCUGGGUGACAGUGGGUAAGUGGAUAAAUGUGACAAACGUGUCUUUCGUUGGUUAGAACCCAUGCCUUAGGCUCCUGUUCUUUGCAAGUGUUUAGAACUACAAAUCUGCAAUUAAUUUAAGUUUUACAUUUUCUGUUAUGGUUCCUGACAAUGUGUCUUUUUAAGGGUAUUUAGAGAAGACAGAGAAGCCUUGACAUGGAAAAAAAAACAUUAAAAAAAAUCAAGACUA